rnacentral:rRNA from 1 species
AGAAAAGCAGGGGAUCGCAAGACCUUGCGCUUUUGGAGCGGCCGAUGUCUGAUUAGCUAGUUGGUGAGGUAAAGGCUUACCAAGGCGUCGAUCAGUAGCUGGUCUGAGAGGACGACCAGCCACACUGGGACUGAGACACGGCCCAGACUCCUACGGGAGGCAGCAGUGGGGAAUUUUGGACAAUGGGGGAAACCCUGAUCCAGCCAUGCCGCGUGAGUGAAGAAGGCCUUCGGGUUGUAAAGCUCUUUCAGCCGGAACGAAACGGUCACGGCUAAUACCUGUGAUCACUGACGGUACCGGAAGAAGAAGCACCGGCUAACUACGUGCCAGCAGCCGCGGUAAUACGUAGGGUGCGAGCGUUAAUCGGAAUUACUGGGCGUAAAGCGUGCGCAGGCGGUUUUGUAAGUCAGAUGUGAAAUCCCCGGGCUUAACCUGGGGACUGCGUUUGAAACUACAAGG